rnacentral:rRNA from 1 species
UACGAAGGGGGCUAGCGUUGUUCGGAAUUACUGGGCGUAAAGCGCGCGCAGGCGGUCUUCCAAGUCAGUGGUGAAAGCCCGGAGCUCAACUCCGGAACUGCCAUUGAAACUGUUAGACUUGAGGACGAGAGAGGUGAGUGGAAUUCCCAGUGUAGAGGUGAAAUUCGUAGAUAUCGGGAGGAACACCAGUGGCGAAGGCGGCUCUCUGGGCAAUGACUGACGCUGAGACGCGAAAGCGUGGGUAGCAAACAGG